rnacentral:rRNA from 1 species
AACGAACGCUGGCGGCAGGCUUAACACAUGCAAGUCGAGCGCCCCGCAAGGAGAGCGGCAGACGGGUGAGUAACGCGUGGGGACGUACCUUUUGGUUCGGAACAACUCCGGGAAACUGGAGCUAAUACCGGAUAAGCCCUAACGGGGAAAGAUUUAUCGCCGAAAGAUCGGCCCGCGUCUGAUUAGCUAGUUGGUGAGGUAACGGCUCACCAAGGCGACGAUCAGUAGCUGGUCUGAGAGGAUGAUCAGCCACACUGGGACUGAGACACGGCCCAGACUCCUACGGGAGGCAGCAGUGGGGAAUAUUGGACAAUGGGCGCAAGCCUGAUCCAGCCAUGCCGCGUGAGUGAUGAAGGCCUUAGGGUUGUAAAGCUCUUUUGUCCGGGAAGAUAAUGACUGUACCGGAAGAAUAAGCCCCGGCUAACUUCGUG